AAAUACUUUGAUACAUCUUAGUGCUUCUAGGAUGCAUGACAAACUUUGAGCUAUAGGCCUCCGUCAUGAUGUCCAUUUUCAACUCACUGUCACUUGGCACACAUACUCUAUCCUAAAAUCUAAACAACCCAUGUGCAGAGAUUUAGAAUUCUGAAUUAACUCCCUAUUCUGCAUCUUUCUUGAAGCUACUAGGGUCGAAUCAGCGAACUGAGCUUCCUUUAUUCUCUAGAUUUACUCAUAUUGAACUGUUAGGUGGGCCCAGUAUGCGACUCUCUUUAGGUCCUGAAGUCGUACCUAUUAUGUGGCCCCUAUUAACCUGCAUUCUGAAACAAUCAAGUGAGCUAAUAUACCUGCACUUUUUCUGUUGAGUGCAUCGGCUACUACAUUGUUUUUACCCGAGUGAUACAAGAUAUUACAAUCAUAGUCCUUGAGUAGUUCUAUCCAUCUUCUCCGACACAUGUUGAGAUAUU
rnacentral:lncRNA from 1 species